rnacentral:rRNA from 1 species
GCAUACAGGACAAUGUGGUGUUUAAGCUUGUACCUGGGACCGCGAAUCUACCCGAAGUCCAACUCCGAUUGUGGCUUUGGAUUGUGCCCAUAGCGGGUGGUAGGCCCGUACGGGUAGAUUCUUGUUUUUCGGCGGUCCUCAGAUGUGCAUGCUUUCGAGUCGGAUUGCUUGAGAAUGCAGUCCAAAGUGGGUGGUAAACUCCAUCCAAGGCUAAAUACUGGCACGAGUCCGAUAGUAGACAACUACCGUGAGGGAAAGUUGAAAAGUACUCUGAAGAGAGAGUAAAUAGCACGUGAAGCUGGUUGCAGGGAAGCUGGUGGAGUCAAGCUUCAUGCUUGAAUGAUUUUUGUCAGUGACACUGUGUCGUGUGAACAUGCGGCUGGUCAGCUUGGAAUAAGUUGGGCGCAUUCUUGUGCUUCAAGUCAUUCCGGGAAGUGUGAUUGUACCGGUCGUUUACUGUUCUGUUGCUGGCAUUCUAUCAUUCGUUGCAUAAAUCACGGUUGAUGGCUGCAUGCUGUGUGAUCGUCUAACUGUGCUUUGACGGGCUUUCAGUUUGUCAGGUGCAGGAUGGCAGGUUGUGACUAGUGGUCUUUGAUUGCUAGUCGCUUAUAGUGGUUUUGACCAGCCGAUGAUCAUGUGGUGUUGUGGCUAUCAUUGUUUCAUGCUGGUGAUCUCC